ensembl:snoRNA
AUCCUUUCGUGGUUCAUAAGCGUGGUAGUGAGUUUUACCAUAAUGUGACAUGUGCCUCCUUUAGCCUUAUUAGGAUGUUGGCACAUUACCCAUCUGAUA